AAUCAACGCUGGCGGCGUGCCUAACACAUGCAAGUCGAACGCGAAAGGGGACUUCGGUUCCUGAGUAGAGUGGCGUACGGGUGAGUAACGCGUGGGUCAUCUGCCCUCGGGUGGGGAAUAACUAAUCGAAAGGUUAGCUAAUACCGCAUAACACAGUGAUGUCAAAGCAGCAAUGUGCCUGAGGAGGAGCCUGCGUCUGAUUAGGUAGUUGGUGGGGUAACGGCCUACCAAGCCUGCGAUCAGUAGCUGGUCUGAGAGGACGGCCAGCCACAAUGGCACUAGAAACACGGGCCAUA
rnacentral:rRNA from 1 species